GCCCAUCAAAAUGGGAUAACACUUGGAAACAGGUGCUAAUACCGUAUAACAAUCGAAACCGCAUGGUUUUGAUUUGAAAGGCGCUUUCGGGUGUCGCUGAUGGAUGGACCCGCGGUGCAUUAGCUAGUUGGUGAGGUAACGGCUCACCAAGGCCACGAUGCAUAGCCGACCUGAGAGGGUGAUCGGCCACAUUGGGACUGAGACACGGCCCAAACUCCUACGGGAGGCAGCAGUAGGGAAUCUUCGGCAAUGGACGAAAGUCUGACCGAGCAACGCCGCGUGAGUGAAGAAGGUUUUCGGAUCGUAAAACUCUGUUGUUAGAGAAGAACAAGGAUGAGAGUAACUGUUCAUCCCUUGACGGUAUCUAACCAGAAAGCCACGGCUAACUACGUGCCAGCAGCCGCGGUAAUACGUAGGUGGCAAGCGUUGUCCGGAUUUAUUGGGCGUAAAGCGAGCGCAGGCGGUUUCUUAAGUCUGAUGUGAAAGCCCCCGGCUCAACCGGGGAGGGUCAUUGGAAACUGGGAGACUUGAGUGCAGAAGAGGAGAGUGGAAUUCCAUGUGUAGCGGUGAAAUGCGUAGAUAUAUGGAGGAACACCAGUGGCGAAGGCGGCUCUCUGGUCUGUAACUGACGCUGAGGCUCGAAAGCGUGGGGAGCAAACAGGAUUAGAUACCCUGGUAGUCCACGCCGUAAACGAUGAGUGCUAAGUGUUGGAGGGUUUCCGCCCUUCAGUGCUGCAGCUAACGCAUUAAGCACUCCGCCUGGGGAGUACGACCGCAAGGUUGAAACUCAAAGGAAUUGACGGGGGCCCGCACAAGCGGUGGAGCAUGUGGUUUAAUUCGAAGCAACGCGAAGAACCUUACCAGGUCUUGACAUCCUUUGACCACUCUAGAGAUAGAGCUUCCCCUUCGGGGGCAAAGUGACAGGUGGUGCAUGGUUGUCGUCAGCUCGUGUCGUGAGAUGUUGGGUUAAGUCCCGCAACGAGCGCAACCCUUAUUGUUAGUUGCCAUCAUUCAGUUGGGCACUCUAGCAAGACUGCCGGUGACAAACCGGAGGAAGGUGGGGAUGACGUCAAAUCAUCAUGCCCCUUAUGACCUGGGCUACACACGUGCUACAAUGGGAAGUACAACGAGUUGCGAAGUCGCGAGGCUAAGCUAAUCUCUUAAAGCUUCUCUCAGUUCGGAUUGCAGGCUGCAACUCGCCUGCAUGAAGCCGGAAUCGGUUGUAAUCGCGGAUAAGCA
rnacentral:rRNA from 1 species